GCCGAACGCUGGCGGCGUGCUUAACACAUGCAAGUCGAACGGAAAGGCCCUGCUUUUGUGGGGUGCUCGAGUGGCGAACGGGUGCGUAACACGUGAGUAACCUGCCCUUGACUUUGGGAUAACUUCAGGAAACUGGGGCUCAUACCGGCUAGGAGCUCCUGCUGCAUGGUGGGGGCUGGAAAGUUUCGGCGGUUGGGGAUGGACUCGCGGCUUAUCAGCUUGUUGGUGGGGUAGUGGCUUACCAAGGCUUUGACGGGUAGCCGGCCUGAGAGGGUGACCGGCCACAUUGGGACUGAGAUACGGCCCAGACUCCUACGGGCGGCAGCAGUGGGGAAUAUUGCACAAUGGGCGGAAGCCGGAUGCAGCAACGCCGCGUGCGGGAUAGCGGCCUUCGGGUGGUAAACCGCUUUCGCCUGUGACGAAGCGUUAGUGACGGUAAUGGGUAAAGAAGCACCGGCUAACUACGGG
rnacentral:rRNA from 1 species